UACGGAGGGGGCUAGCGUUGUUCGGAAUUACUGGGCGUAAAGCGCGCGUAGGCGGACCUGCAAGUCGGGGGUGAAAGCCCGAGGCUCAACCUCGGAACUGCCUUCGAUACUGCGGGUCUCGAGUCCGGGAGAGGUGAGUGGAAUUCCUAGUGUAGAGGUGAAAUUCUUAGAUAUUGGGUGGAACACCGGUGGCGAAAGCGGCUCACUGGCCCGGUUCUGACGCUGAGGCGCGAAAGCGUGGGGAGCAAACAGG
rnacentral:rRNA from 1 species